rfam:Picea glauca, whole genome shotgun sequence.
AUGUACAUUCCUACAACAUAGCGCUAAUGCACCAGAUCCCAUUAGAACUUCAUAGUUAAGCAUUUUCAGGAUAGAGUAGUAUUGGGAUGGGUGACCACCUGGGAAGUCGUAGUGUUUUACAUG